AGCUUUGCGCAGUGGCAGUAUUAUAGCCAAUGAGAUUUAUCCGAGGCGCGAUUAUUGCUAAUUGAAAACUUUUCCCAAUACCCCGCCAUGACGACUUGAAAUAUAGUUGGCAUUGGCAAUUUUUCACAGUCUCUACGGAGA
rnacentral:snRNA from 1 species